rnacentral:rRNA from 1 species
CCUACGGGAGGCAGCAGUGAGGAAUAUUGGUCAAUGGACGAGAGUCUGAACCAGCCAAGUAGCGUGAAGGAUGACUGCCCUAUGGGUUGUAAACUUCUUUUAUAAAGGAAUAAAACGAGGCACGUGUGCCUUUUUGCAUGUACUUUAUGAAUAAGGAUCGGCUAACUCCGUGCCAGCAGCCGCGGUAAUACGGAGGAUCCGAGCGUUAUCCGGAUUUAUUGGGUGUAAAGGGAGCGUAGAUGGGUUGUUAAGUCAGUUGUGAAAGUUUGCGGCUCAACCGUAAAAUUGCAAUUGAUACUGGCAGUCUUGAGUACAGUUGAGGUAGGCGGAAUUCGUGGUGUAGCGGUGAAAUGCUUAGAUAUCACGAAGAACCCCGAUUGCGAAGGCAGCUUACUAAACUGUGACUGACGCUGAAGCACGAAAGCGUGGGUAUCGAACAGGAUUAGAUACCCGUGUAGUC